rnacentral:misc_RNA from 1 species
ACAAACUUGGUCAUUUAGAGGAAGUAAAAGUCGUAACAAGGUUUCCGUAGGUGAACCUGCGGAAGGAUCAUUAGAGAAAAAGAAAGACUUUUCAUAGUCUUUUUCUUUAUCCACACCCUUACAGAUCGCAUUGUGCACUUUGGCCCCACACCUUUUUUCUUUACACGCUUUGACUACAUGUCUUGAAUGUAUCAAACCAUUAAACAUAAAGUACAACUUUCAGCAACGGAUCUCUUGGCUCUCGCAUCGAUGAAGAACGCAGC